rnacentral:rRNA from 1 species
UACAGAGGCCACGAGCGUUAGGCGGAAUCACUGGGCUUAAAGCGUGUGUAGGUGGAUGGGUAAGUACCUUGUGAAAUCCCACGACUCAAUCGUGGAACUGCUUGGUAUACUGCCUGUCUUGAGGUACUCAGGGGCAAGCGGAACAGAUGGUGGAGCGGUGAAAUGCGUAGAUAUCAUCUGGAACGCCAAUGGUGAAGACAGCUUGCUGGGGGUAUUCUGACACUGAGACACGAAAGCCAGGGGAGCAAACGGG